rnacentral:rRNA from 1 species
GAUCCUGGCUCAGGAUGAACGCUGGCGGCGUGCUUAAUACAUGCAAGUCGAACGAAGCACUUUGGCGGAUCCCUUCGGGGUGAAGCCGGUUGUGACUUAGUGGCGGACGGGUGAGUAACGCGUGGGUAACCUGCCUUAUACAGGGGGAUAACAGUUAGAAAUGACUGCUAAUACCCCAUAAGCGCACGAUAUCGCAUGAUGAUGUGUGAAAAGAUUUAUCGGUAUAAGAUGGACCCCGCGUCUGAUUAGUUAGUUGGCGGGUAACGGCCCACCAAGACGACGAUCAGUAGCCGACUUGAGAGAGUGAUCGGCCACAUUGGGACUGAGACACGGCCCAGACUCCUACGGGAGGCAGCAGUAGGGAAUAUUGCACAAUGGGGGAAACCCUGAUGCGGCGACGCCCGCGUGAGUGAUUGAAGUAUUUCGGUAUGUAAAGCUCUAUCAGCAGGGAAGAUAAUGACGGUACCUGCAUAAGAAGCCCCGGCUAACUACGUGCCAGCAGCAGC